rnacentral:tRNA from 1 species
UCCCUGGCAGUACAGCGGUUAGGACUUGGUACUUUCAAUGCUGAGGACCCAGGUUCAACCCCUGGUCAGGGAA